CCUACGGGAGGCAGCAGUGGGGAAUAUUUGGCCAUGGGCGCAAGCCUGACCCAGCCACGCCGCGUGAAGGAAGAAGGCUUUCGGGUUGUAAACUUCUUUUGUCAGGGAAGAGUAGAAGACGGUCCCUGACGAAUAAUCCACGGCUAACUACGUGCCAGCAGCCGCGGUAAUACGUAGGUGGCAAGCGUUGUCCGGAUUUACUGGGUGUAAAGGGCGUGUAGUCGGGUUGACAAGGCAGAGGUGAAAUCCUGCGGCAUAACCGCAGAACUGCAUUUGAAACUGUUGAUCUUGAGUAUUGGAGAGGCAGAUGGAAUUCCUAGUGUAGCGGUGAAAUGCGUAGAUAUGAGGAGGAACACCAGUGGCGAAGGCGGUCUGCGGGACAGCAACUGACGGUGAGGCGCGAAAGCGUGGGGAGCAAACAGGAUUAGAUACCCCGGUAGUC
rnacentral:rRNA from 1 species